UACGUAGGGUGCAAGCGUUGCCCGGAUUUAUUGGGCGUAAAGGGCGCGUAGGCGGCUCUGCACGUUCGUUGUGAAAUCGCCCGGCUCAACUGGGCGGGGUCAGCGGAUACGGCAGAGCUUGAGCAAGCUAGGGGGCAAUGGAAUUCCCGGUGUAGUGGUGGAAUGCGUAGAUAUCAGGAGGAACACCGGUGGCGAAGGCGGUUCUCUGGGCAUUACCUGACGCUGAGGAGCGAAAGUGUGGGGAGCGAACAGG
rnacentral:rRNA from 1 species